rnacentral:hammerhead_ribozyme from 1 species
ACACUGCUGAGGAGUUCCAUAAUAGAACGAAACAGCUGUCCAGUGC